rnacentral:rRNA from 1 species
GAUGAACGCUGGCGGCGUGCCUAAUACAUGCAAGUCGAGCGAACAGAUGAGAAGCUUGCUUCUCUGAUGUUAGCGGCGGACGGGUGAGUAACACGUGGGUAACCUACCUAUAAGACUGGGAUAACUCCGGGAAACCGGGGCUAAUACCGGAUAAUAUUUUGAACCGCAUGGUUCAAUAGUGAAAGACGGUUUCGGCUGUCACUUAUAGAUGGACCCGCGCCGUAUUAGCUAGUUGGUAAGGUAACGGCUUACCAAGGCGACGAUACGUAGCCGACCUGAGAGGGUGAUCGGCCACACUGGAACUGAGGCACGGUCCGGACUCCUACGGGAGGCAGCAGUAGGGAAUCUUCCGCAAUGGGCGAAAGCCUGACGGAGCAACGCCGCGUGAGUGAUGAAGGUCUUCGGAUCGUAAAACUCUGUUGUUAGGGAAGAACAAAUUUGUUAGUAACUGAACAAGUCUUGACGGUACCUAACCAGAAAGCCACGGCUAACUACGUGCCAGCCGCCGCAGUAA